UACGUAGGGUGCAAGCGUUAGUCCGGAAUUAUGGCGUAAAGCGUGCGCAGGCGGUCUGCUAAGAGAGGUGUGAAAUCCCCGGGCUUAACCUGGGAACUGCGCUUCUAACUGGCAGGCUAGAGUGUGGCAGAGGGGGGUGGAAUUCCACGUGUAGCAGUGAAAUGCGUAGAGAUGUGGAGGAACACCGAUGGCGAAGGCAGCCCCCUGGGCUAACACUGAUGCUCAUGCACGAAAGCGUGGGGAGCAAACAGG
rnacentral:rRNA from 1 species